rnacentral:rRNA from 1 species
UACGUAGGGUGCGAGCGUUGUCCGGAAUUACUGGGCGUAAAGCGUGCGCAGGCGGUUUUGUAAGUCUGUCGUGAAAUCCCCGGGCUCAACCUGGGAAUUGCGAUGGAGACUGCAAGGCUAGAAUCUGGCAGAGGGGGGUAGAAUUCCACGUGUGAGCAGUGAAAUGCGUAGAGAUGUGGAGGAACACCGAUGGCGAAGGCAGCCCCCUGGGUCAAGACUGACGCUCAUGCACGAAAGCGUGGGGAGCAAACAGG